UUUACCUUUAAGGCUACCAAUGGCUGCUGGCCACAAUGGCUAUGUUCUCCCUCAACUGCUGGAGAAGUGUGCAUCUGAGAGCUAAUUUCUUAGAAUCACAAGUGAGGAUUCCCUCAGGUCCAUCUUACAGGCUUUACAUAGGCACCUGGUUGGCCACUGUGACAACAGGAUGCGGAACUAGACGGGCCACUGGCCUGAUCUAGCAGGGCUGUUAUGUUUCAGAUGGGAUUCAUGAAGAGCCUUGAGAGACCCACACUCAAGUCUUACUAAGAAUAGGUCUCAUUACUAAGGAUGUGGGAGAAACUGAAUUGAGUUUUUCAUUUAAAAGCAAACCUACCUGAUUUCUACUUUCUGAAAUGCGAACAGAAACACAGACAUGCUUCAAAAGUUGCAUUUCUCCAAAUUUCGCAAGAAAUGUGUACAAAAAUUCGGACUGGAGCAUAGUAUGCAUAGGAAUGCACAUGGUCAUGAAAACAACAUGCAAAGAUGCAUUAUAUGAGGGGGAAAUACCUUGCAAAAAAAUGUGUAUAUUGGGCAAAAUUGCAGGCAACAAGAGGGGGUGGGGAGAGAGAUUUGUACUAAAAUGGGUUUUUUUAAAAAAAUUGCAAACGGAUGUGGAAAUGUAGAGAUCUGGACUUAAGACAGGAAAUAAAAGAAACUGAGAGAAACUAAAAUUGACAGAUUGCACCAUCCCUAUUCUUCACACAGUUAUCAACAUCUUUAGCAGCUGUACGCAUUUAGUAUUUGUUAAACAUGCUAGCAAACUAUCAGAUUACUGCACAAUUUACUGAAGCUGUGGUGUGUUUUUUUUUUAAAAAAACUCUAUUAAAAAUGUAGUGAUAAACUUAUUGUAGCAAAGUACAUACUGAAAUGAAAAGGGGAAAAACCCACAAGUGAAUGGAAGCUUCUGACAUUACUUGCUUUCAGAACGUGAGUGUACAUGCCUGCCUCUUAAGCAGCGUUCAAGCACCACAUAAGAAAGAUAAUGGUUUUUGGUCAUUUUGCCAAAAAACAAAAUAAAACCCCAAUCUCCACUGGCAGAUAAAUGCAGGAAUGCUGUAAAACACACAUGAUAUAUUUUAAUUAGACUAGAAUGUUUAUAUUCUUAUUUUAAUUAGCCUGCAAUGUUUACAUUUUUCCUGUAUGAUAGAGCUUUCAUAAAAUUUCUCUCGCUCUGUGUUAAAAUGAUUUAAUGGCAUGUCAACAUUAUUAUUUUUUAAAGCUGGAUAAGAGACAGUAUUAUUGCAUACACUAGUUAGGCUAAAGUAGUUGAGUUUAAGAGUAUUUUCUGCACUGGGGCUGAAUUGGCUUAAAUCCACAGAGUCAACUUUGACUGGUUGGUGGACCAGGCUGUUUGGAACCUGUAUGAUUAAGGCAGGCAAGCAAAAGGCAUUUUGGUUUCGCUGAAAGCUUGGAACACCUUUAUCAUUUCAUUACUCCCUUCAGCUCUACAACAUGAAGGAACAAAAAUCUCCUUUGAUUUUGGCAAGAUUUAAGGCCACCUCCUGGUUCCCAACCAAAGUACAUCUGUGUAUUAUUAAGACUGUGCCCAGUAAUUUAGUUCUGGCACCGCUUAUGUAGGUAUGUUUGAAUCUCAAAGCAUAUACAGUGGCUGGAGAUUACGUUGGAGACAAAGUUUCUUUCCAAAUCAUUAUUUGUAUAUAUUAGUCAUUUUUUCCUUUAUAGGUUAGGAGACUACAAUAGCGUCUCAUAUUUAUGUGUUUGUAGUUUCUAUUGGAAUCACUUAUUUAUGACUGGCCAAUAAUCAAACAGGCUGGACUGAAGGUGUUUCCUCAAAUAUAUUACCAGCACUUCCUUUUUAAUUAAAGCUUCUGCAGAUCUUUCUGCCAUUUUUCAGCAUUCCUCAUGAAAGGAAAAUCCUUAUUUCCAAAUUUAAUGUAAUAUAUUCUUUCAGUAAUUUAAGAUCAAUAACACACACACACACACACACACACACAUUGUGUGUAUGAUUUGUGUUCAUGGUGUUAUCAUGGUGGUUAUAUAUGCAAUCAUGCUUCCAGUACCAUAUGCACCUGCAAAGGUUUUGAGAUGGCUAUACACCUACACUUGAAAUACCUGCAUGUCUUGUAGUUUCUUGCUAAAAUCCUACAACUUUUCACCUACAAAUGUUCCAGUGGAAUGCUGUCUGGGUUGUGCAAUAUAACUCCAACAGUAAUGCACUAUUAUUGCAUCAAUGGCAUGGUGCAGAAUACAAGACCCUCGAUCUCAUGUCCUUCCUUCCUUCCUUCCUUCCUUCCUAUUCUAAGAUUCUUAAGAGAGAAAAUGUGUGGGAGUGAUGAUCUUAAGAGAGAAGUAGAAAGUGAGGUGGUGACUCUGCCACUCCCCACUAUCUACAUGCAGCCCUGAGAAUUCCCCCCAACCCUGUUGUAGUUCAUGGAUUUGGCCUCUUUCAGCCUAUCCUCUCCUUGUCCUAUAGUCUUUCUCUAAGUCAAAUUUAAUUGUAAGCUUAUUGUGGGAGGGAUCUGCCUUUUUCCUUAUGUGACUAAACAAAGCAUCAUACACAUUGCUAGCAGAAUAUUGAUAAACAGCUAUUACCCAUUGGUAGUUUGGCCACUGGCAAAUAUAUGCAGGUAAGGUGCAUGGAAUCACAAGUGGGCAGAGCCCUGUUGCACUCAGGUUCUGCUUGUGGGCUUCCCAGAGGUAUCUCAUUGGCCACUGUGAGAACAGGAUACUGGACUAGACAGGCCAGGGCUCUUCUUAUGUUCUUUUGAUGGGUCACGUAAGGUUGCCAUAUGUCCUCUUUUUCGAGGACACAUCCUCUUUUUCAUGGAUGUGUAAAAGGAGAGUCGUCAUAGUGAUCCAUAGUUAAAAGUAGAAGUAGACGAAUGUGUCCUCUUUUUUGCUCUUCAAAAUAUAGCAACCAUAGGUGGGUAGGUGAGUGGAGAAUUAAAAUCUCAGUUACAAUGAGAAGAUUGGAACAAUCUAUCAUGAGAAGAUUGGAACAAUCUGUGAUAAAAAAAUAACAGAUGAAUCCUGAAAAUUAAUCAUCAUUGAGCUAGUUCAAACAUGCAUGCCUAUCACUUGCUAAUUGCAGUGUUGCAUUUUUUAAAAAUAACUAUUUUAGUCUUUAUUAGACCCAUUCCCUUGUGCUUCCAGCAAUGUCCCCCUUCCCUUCAGCACAGUCUCUGCCAUUUCAAAUCCACCAUAGAAAUUCCUCUCAUUAAAAAAAAUAAUGUGUUGUUGUUUUUUUUAAAAAUGAGCCUUAUAAACCUCCAGCUACAGGACACACAACAAAGAAAUAAAUAAGCAGGGAAAUCCAACUUGGGGUGGGGGGUGAAAUGAAAGAAAAAUGGAGCGGGGAGACAGAAUAAAGAGAGGAAAGAGGAAAAGAGAAAACAGAUGAUCCUCAAUAAAGCUUCAUUUCUAUUCUGCCAAGAUUUGCACAAAGCUUCCAUAUAUUUCCUUAUACUUUACCUCCCUAGGACAGUCCUCUCUUUUAUCGUUCAAAUCUGGCUUAAAGAGACAGAGCCAUAUGAAGGGAAAGAAGCAGGGACCUCAAACGUGUCCAUCAACAGUUAGCAACAGUGAACAGACACACAGGUUACCGGUACCUGGUCAUAGUCUUCCCUAUUAUGGUGAGAUGUGUUACAUUUGUAUUUAAAUUACAGUAAUUAUUUCUAAAUCUGCAACUACACCUGCGAAUUGGCUCAUGCAAAUGUAAUGGCAAUCUGCAUCCUCUUUUGCAAUGCACGUCUCCCUUUUGGCAAUGUAUUUGUGGCUAUCCAGCCUUAAUUUGUAACAGUGAGGCAGUCAACCUGUCGUGGAAACUUAGGCUGCAGUCAUUUGCUCUCUUCCUUAGAACUCAAUUGCACUGGAGUACUUUCAAGCAGGUCUCCCUGUUUCAACAAUGCGCUCCAGGUGUGUGAAUUCUGAUGAGGACUCAAAGUGAGGCAGUGACUCUGCCACUCCCCACUAUCUACAUGCAGCCCUGAGAAUUCCCCCCAACCCUGUUGUAGUUCAAGGAUUUGGCCUCUUUCAGCCUAUCCUUUCCUUGUCCUAUAGUCUUUCUCUAAGUCAAAUUUAAUUGUAAGCUCAUUGUGGGAGGGAUCUGCCUUUUUCCUUAUGUGACUAAACAAAGCAUCAUACACAUUGCUAGCAGAAUAUUGAUAAACAGCUAUUAUCAGCACAGUCUCUGCCAUUUCAAAUCCACCAUAGAAAUUCCUCUCAUU